UACGGUGGGGGCAAGCGUUGUUCGGAAUUACUGGGCGUAAAGGGCUCGUAGGCGGCCAACUAAGUCGGACGUGAAAUCCCCAGGCUCAACCUGGGAACUGCGUCUGAUACUGGAUGGCUUGAAUCCGGGAGAGGGAUGCAGAAUUCCAGGUGUAGCGGUGAAAUGCGUAGAUAUCUGGAGGAACACCGGUGGCGAAGGCGACAUCCUGGACCGGUAUUGACGCUGAGGCGCGAAAGCCAGGGGAGCAAACGGG
rnacentral:rRNA from 1 species